UAGGGAAUCUUCCACAAUGGACGCAAGUCUGAUGGAGCAACGCCGCGUGAGUGAAGAAGGCUUUCGGGUCGUAAAACUCUGUUAUUGAAGAAGAACGUGUGUGACAGUAACUGGUCAUGCAGUGACGGUAUUCAAUCAGAGAGUCACGGCUAACUACGUGCCAGCAGCCGCGGUAAUACGUAGGUGGCAAGCGUUGUCCGGAUUUAUUGGGCGUAAAGCGAGUGCAGGCGGUCUUUUAAGUCUGAUGUGAAAGCCUUCGGCUUAACCGAAGAAGGGCAUCGGAAACUGGGAGACUUGAGUGCAGAAGAGGAGAGUGGAACUCCAUGUGUAGCGGUGAAAUGCGUAGAUAUAUGGAAGAACACCAGUGGCGAAGGCGGCUCUCUGGUCUGUAACUGACGCUGAGGCUCGAAAGCGUGGGUAGCAAAACAGGAUUAGAUACCCUGGUAGUCCACG
rnacentral:rRNA from 1 species